rnacentral:rRNA from 1 species
UACGAAGGGGGCUAGCGUUGCUCGGAAUCACUGGGCGUAAAGGGUGCGUAGGCGGGUCUUUAAGUCAGGGGUGAAAUCCUGGAGCUCAACUCCAGAACUGCCUUUGAUACUGAGGAUCUUGAGUUCGGGAGAGGUGAGUGGAACUGCGAGUGUAGAGGUGAAGAUUCGUAGAUAUCGCAAGAACACCAGUGGCGAAGGCGGCUCACUGGCCCGAUACUGACGCUGAGGCACGAAAGCGUGGGGAGCAAACAGG